rnacentral:rRNA from 1 species
UCUGCCCUGGGUUAGUCGGGGCCUAAGGCGAGGCCGACAGGCGUAGUCGAUGGAUAACGGGUUGAUAUUCCCGUACCGGUGAAAAACCGCCCAUACUGAUAUUGUGAUGCUAACCAUGCGAAGCAUGAUGUGCAGGCUUUUGUUUGUGUGUUGUGUGGGUUGUGGGACCCGAUCUUUGGAGGUAAACGUGUUAACAGGUGUGACGCAGGAAGGUAGCCAAGCCACGCGAUGGUUGUCGUGGUCUAAGCGUGUAGGGUUGUCGGUUGUUAAAUGCGCCGGCUGUGUGCCUGAGACGUGAUGGGACCCCGUUUUUGGGGGAUUUGGUGAUCCUAUGCUGCCGAGAAAAGCAUCGGCGUGAGGUUUUAGCUGCCCGUACCCGAAACCGACACAGGUGAUCAGGUAGAGAAUACUAAGGCGAUCGAGAGAAUCAUGGUUAAGGAACUCGGCAAAAUGCCCCCGUAACUUCGGGAGAAGGGGGGCCCUGAGCGUGAUCUGCCCGUGCGGUGGGGAGCGUGUAGGGGUCGCAGAGACCAGGGGGAAGCGACUGUUUAUCAAAAACACAGGUCCGUGCGAAGUCGUAAGACGAGGUAUACGGACUGACUCCUGCCCGGUGCUGGAAGGUUAAGAGGAUUGGUUAGCCCUGUGUGGGCGAAGCUGAGAAUUUAAGCCCCAGUAAACGGCGGUGGUAACUAUAACCAUCCUAAGGUAGCGAAAUUCCUUGUCGGGUAAGUUCCGACCUGCACGAAUGGAGUAACGACUUCCCUACUGUCUCAACCAUGAACUCGGUGAAAUUGCAGUACGAGUAAAGAUGCUCGUUUCGCGCAGCAGGACGGAAAGACCCCGUGACCUUUACUAUAGUUUGGUAUUGGUGUUUGGGUUGGCUUGUGUAGGAUAGGUGGGAGACUGUGAAGCUGUCACGCUAGUGGUGGUGGAGUCGUUGUUGAAAUACCACUCUGGUCAAUCUGGAUGUCUAACUUCGGGCCAUGAUCUGGUUCAGGGACAGUGCCUGAUGGGUAGUUUAACUGGGGCGGUUGCCUCCUAAAGUGUAACGGAGGCGCCCAAAGGUUCCCUCAGCCUGGUUGGCAAUCAGGUGUUGAGUGUAAGUGCACAAGGGAGCUUGACUGUGAGAGUGGCGACUCGAGCAGGGACGAAAGUCGGGACUAGUGAUCCGGCAGUGGCUUGUGGAAGCGCUGUCGCUCAACGGAUAAAAGGUACCUCGGGGAUAACAGGCUGAUCUUGCCCAAGAGUCCAUAUCGACGGCAUGGUUUGGCACCUCGAUGUCGGCUCGUCGCAUCCUGGGGCUGGAGUCGGUCCCAAGGGUUGGGCUGUUCGCCCAUUAAAGCGGUACGCGAGCUGGGU